UACAGGGGGGGCAAGCGUUGUUCGGAAUUACUGGGCGUAAAGGGCUCGUAGGCGGCCAACUAAGUCACACGUGAAAUCCCCAGGCUUAACCUGGGAACUGCGUGUGAUACUGGAUGGCUUGAAUUCGGGAGAGGGAUGCAGAAUUCCAGGUGUAGCGGUGAAAUGCGUAGAUAUCGGGAGGAACACCGGUGGCGAAGGCGGGUCUCUGGGCCGUAACUGACGCUGAGGAGCGAAAGCAUGGGGAGCGAACAGG
rnacentral:rRNA from 1 species